AUUUUCUGUGAUGAUUUGAUUACCGCCCCAGUCUGAAAUCGAUGACUGAUUGGUCAGUUCUGAAGAAAA